rnacentral:rRNA from 1 species
GUAGGUGGCAAGCGUUGUCCGGAAUUAUUGGGCGUAAAGCGCGCGCAGGCGGUUCUUUAAGUCUGAUGUGAAAGCCCACGGCUCAACCGUGGAGGGUCAUUGGAAACUGGAGAACUUGAGUACAGAAGAGGAAAGCGGAAUUCCACGUGUAGCGGUGAAAUGCGUAGAGAUGUGGAGGAACACCAGUGGCGAAGGCGGCUUUCUGGUCUGUAACUGACGCUGAGGCGCGAAAGCGUGGGGAGCAAACAGGGAUUAGAUACCCUGGUAGUCCACGCCGUAAACGAUGAGUGCUAAGUGUUAGGGGGUUUCCGCCCCCUUAGUGCUGCAGCUAACGCAUUAAGCACUCCGCCUGGGGAGUAUGGCCGCAAGGCUG